GACGAACGCUGGCGGCGUGCUUAACACAUGCAAGUCGAACGGAAAGGCCCUGCUUUUGUGGGGUGCUCGAGUGGCGAACGGGUGAGUAACACGUGAGUAACCUGCCCUUGACUUUGGGAUAACUUCAGGAAACUGGGGCUAAUACCGGAUAGGAGCUCCUGCUGCAUGGUGGGUGUUGGAAAGUUUCGGCGGUUGGGGAUGGACUCGCGGCUUAUCAGCUUGUUGGUGGGGUAGUGGCUUACCAAGGCUUUGACGGGUAGCCGGCCUGAGAGGGUGACCGGCCACAUUGGGACUGAGAUACGGCCCAGACUCCUACGGGAGGCAGCAGUGGGGAAUAUUGAACAAUGGGCGGAAGCCUGAUGCAGCAACGCCGCGUGCGGGAUGACGGCCUUCGGGUUGUAAACCGCUUUCGCAUGUGACGAAGCGUGAGUGACGGUAAUGGGUAAAGAAGCACCGGCUAACUACGUG
rnacentral:rRNA from 1 species